rnacentral:lncRNA from 1 species
AAUUCUAAAAUGGUUGUGAAGAUCAUGUACUGACCUUAAACUUGAUUAAUGGCUUGAGUGUUAGUUAUGGUUAGUAUACUCUACAUAAAUUGAGGACAGAGAGAUCUAGAGGUUCCGCUCAAUUAAAAUUUAAAAUUUGGAUUUUCUUAGUCUCAAUGCAAAGUGAUACUUUGGUCAGAAAUUAUUUUGUGACUUUAGAGAAUUUGAUGAGUUAGAUCAAAGUGCGCAGCGAAAGUGUAGUGGUUUGAGUUAUUUUGAAACCGAUUAAAAAUAAUAAUAAUAAUAAUAAUAAUAAUACCUUGAUCUGAAAGGUAUUAUUAUGGAAGACUUGAGUUAGUUUUCUAGUAGAGGGGAAUGUCGUUGAUUCUUUGCUUACUGGAAGUAGUUGUGGGCUCUCCUAUUUUUGAUAAUUCUAAGAAGAAUUUUGGGGCAUCUUAAUUUUAGCGUUAACAGGAUUGAUAGCUCUGUGAUUAAGCUUGGGCCUGGAAUGAUUUAAUAUAGUUCUUCGACUCCUAGCUAUGACAUUGUUAAUAUACCUAUUUGAACAGGUUUGCGGUUUUUUUCUAAGAUAAAGGUUGAUCAUUUAAUCACAGGCAAAGUUAAGAAAAGAAAAAUGAUUAUAGAAUAUUAAGAGCAUUUGAUACUAAAGAUUUCUCCUAUUUAUGUUAAGCCAAUUAUGAUCUCUAUUAGAAUCAAGAGAAAUUAAUUUCUUUGAGAUAUAAUUAUGGCAUUUUAAUCCAAGGUUGGGAGUUUGGAAUUUUUUUGAAGGAGAUCAAAAGAACUUACUACGUGUGGUAAAUAGAAAUGAUCAAGGUUUGAGAUGCUGUGAUUUUUGUAUGUCAAAAUCUUGUGAGUAGGUACUCCAAGAGGAAGACUAUUUGAGAUCUUAGGGAUGAUAUAAUGGAUGCAUAUUUUUUUUAAAGUUUGAGGCUUCAAGUAAGUUAAUUUCGAGGACGAAAUUCUUUUAAGGGGGAGAGUAUGUAAUACCCAGAAAA